CCCUCUGGACAUCUGUGGACAGGCUCUCCUGAAAGAGAAACCUAGCACACUGGUCUCAAAGCACCGGCGGUUUUAGAAAGGCAAGCACAAAAGGAAAAAACUCCAUAUAAAAGAUUCCACUCCACUAUCACUGGUGAUCACACAUGGCUCCGCGAAGUAAUAAACAGGCUCUACACACUCCACCUCCAGAGACCUUAGCACCAUCGACAGCCAAUCACUCCCUUCUUACUCCUCCACUCCAAGUCAAAGCGCCCGUCCCAGGAAAGAAACAAACGCUUCUUGUUGUCCAGCGCUGAGCACCCUCCUAGCUAAGGACUCCCACGCUGAGCCGCCUGAGCAUCGCGGAGGUGGCUGUCCCCUCGCCAGCCUCGUACGAACUUCAGCUUUCUCAGACUUGGGUGCCCUCUCAGAGUCCCAACCUCAUGGCACCACAGCCCGGAUCUCAGUCGCCAACUUUGCUUUCCGAGUCUUGGACUCUAGCGCUUGCACCCGAACGCUGAGACCUCUAGAUCCCAGACGCCUGCCCCGGGUCUAACCACUCACCCAGAACCCCCUUCCCCCUGCACCCCGAUCCGCACCUGGUCUGGCGGUGGACACACAGCUCGGCGCUUCCCGUGCUUAGGGCUCGGCAGCAGCUUUUUGACAAGCAGAGACUGCUCAGCACCUGGCCCCGCCCCCGCAAGGCCCCGCCCCCGGACCGCCCUGCCCCUCAACCACGCCCACUAAGUUCAGUCCUCUGAAGCCCUGAAACUUUCUUGACUUGGAAUCAACCACUGCACUGUCGCCUUGGAGGCCCUGCCUUGUGAGGGGCUCCAGGACCGCCAGCCACAGUGCAGCACAGGCGUCUGCCUUCCGUGGAACAGUAUUUGAUGAUGUCGUGUGUGCAAAUCCACGUUUCUGCCUGUGAUGAUCCGUGAUGUAGCCACCACCCACCCCUGCCGCCGUGGUUCUACCCAAUCUGCUGUAAACGCCUCCCCCAGGUGUGUCACCCGUACCUGAGUUGACCCGGGACCCCGACGCCCGCGGCGCGCUGCAGGGAGCCGUUCUCUGCGCGCGCCGGAUGGGGAACCUCAGGUGAGUUUCUCCUGCAGGGCGCUCAGCCGGACUCUACUGGUUAGGAUUAGCCCAAGAAAACCAGAUUGGAGGUUGGAGUUGCGUCCUCUCUCCUACCUGACGUUCUUCUGCUAACUACACCGACGGAGCAUGUUCCUGG
rnacentral:lncRNA from 1 species